UACGAAGGUCCCAAGCGUUAUCCGGAUUUAUUGGGUUUAAAGGGUGCGUAGGCGGCUUAUUAAGUCAGUGGUGAAAGCUCCAUGCUUAACGUGGAAAUUGCCAUUGAUACUGAUGAGCUUGAGUAUAUUUGAAGUGGGCGGAAUGUGUCGUGUAGCGGUGAAAUGCUUAGAUAUGACACAGAACACCGAUUGCGUAGGCAGCUCACUAAACUAUAACUGACGCUGAGGCACGAAAGCAUGGGGAUCAAACGGG
rnacentral:rRNA from 1 species